GACAGAUACGACCGCAACCGGUGACAUAGGAUACUCGAUAGCCUGGAAAAGAACGAGCUGCAACAAAGACAGCGCCUAUCCUGUGUGUGUAGCUGAGGAACAUCAGCCCAAGUUUCUCAUCGUGCCCAGCGAGAAAGAUGAUGAGGUGAAGCUACUUGGACUGACAUACAACUCGGAAUACGUUUUGAACAUCAGCACCAAUGGGUACAUCAACACAGCGAGAUUCACAACUCCAGGUAUU